rnacentral:rRNA from 1 species
ACGUAGGGUGCGAGCGUUAAUCGGAAUUACUGGGCGUAAAGCGUGCGUAGACGGUUAUUUAAGUCGGGUGUGAAAGCCCCGGGCUCAACCUGGGAAUUGCAUUCGAGACUGCAUUGCUGGAGUACGGAAGAGGAGGGCGGAAUUCCCGGUGUAGCGGUGAAAUGCGUAGAUAUCGGGAGGAACAUCAGUGGCGAAGGCGGCCCUCUGGUCCAGUACUGACACUCAAGUGCGAAAGCGUGGGGAGCAAACAGGA